UCCAGUGAUGAAAGCCUGAUCCACCACAGAACAGCAUCAGAAAGCUGAUGCAGCUCAGUUAACGUCUCCGAGGAGUGUGUCAGGCCAGACUUUAAAUGUCAGCAGCAGAGAGGAAUCUAUGGGCCAAGUUUCCACCGAGUGCUCUGCAGAAGGAGACGUGUGGGUGGCGUCACGUGACGUCACCGUGUCAGCGACGUGCAGCUGUGCUCUACUCACCCUCCUUGAAUUGGUUUGACUGGUUAGAAAAUUUAUGACGAACGAUUGUUUCAGGAAAAGUGCAGUUGUACGUCAAUGGGAAGCUUCAGUUUCCAAUAGUAGGGAGAGUAAAUGUUAUUGAUUAUGUCGUUUGGCUAAAGCGUUUGGCUGAUUCUGUUAGAGAAUACGUCAAUAGAGGAUGUGCCAGCACAGAGAGAGGCAACGCUUGCAUGCACGUAUUUGGUUUUAUUAAUAACCAUUUUAUCAUUCUGGCUGAUACUUAAAAUGAGAUGUGUGAAAAAUGAGAAACUCUUUUACUUCCGGAGAUCAAUCUACUGUAUACGUGGUCUUUGAUCUUUUCUUAGCCCUGUUCAGGCCCCAGGCAGCUUUUAUGCAGGUGGAAAAUGGAGGUUGGACCUAACUGGACAGAGCCCGGUGGAGAGGAGCAGGACGGGGGGAUGGGGACAACGCGCCUGCUGGAGCUGAUGCUGCUGAGCCUUGGAGGAAGUAGGUCAAAGCUGACCUUGGUGGCAGCCGAGCUGCAACUCGAGGGCAGAAACCCAAAUAACCCAGCCAUGAAAAUAAAAAUCAAUGCAGGAAGUGGAUCUGUUGCCAGAAGGUAGUUCUCCAAGGUCAACGGCCCCGGCAGACGGACUAUCACAUUCAGCCUCUCCACCCAGUCACACAGAUGCAGACCAACAGCAGACAAUAGGGAAUGUGCCCACAACACCAUGCUGCCCACCUCAGACGGGCACUGAGCCUGUCUCUCAACAGAAGUGGUGAGAGAAACGAGUGCCAGUCACGCUGCGGCGAGCCGAGCAGACUGGACACGUUGGCUGCAGAGUGGGUGCCGCUCCAUCAGGCCCCCGUCUGCGUGGUGGAGGAAACCCUGAGUCCAGCUGUCUGGUUCCUCAGAUCCUCCGCGCAGAAGGUCAGAGUGGAAGCCUGGAACGCGCUGAUUGGACUCGUGCUGCACCGGAGGGUGUUUUUCCUCAGAUCCUCUCCAAGGAAAACGUGUGAUCUAGUGCUAAUCGGACACUUCAUAGCAUUGUUGUUUGUGCAAUGUAAAGGAAUGGACAGCACACGCUGAAGUUAAAGGCCCGAUUCCUGCGAUGUCGUGCAGAAGGAGAACGCCCGGCUCUUCUCCGGGAGCUCAGUCCCUUAAUUAUCCUGCAAAGGUCACGACAGGCAGCCCUCAGCGCGUUUAUCCAUCAGGCGAUGAUCCGCCACGAGCCACGGCAGACAGUCCUGCAGAGGGCGCUGUGCUGGCCACAUAUGCAGUUGCUCAGUAGGAAUUUACUGUAGAUUCAAGAAAAGGUUGUGAUUUUUGUUCAGUAAAAGUAUGUUUUGAGUGACUGAAAAUAGUUUUGCCUACUUAACCUAAGUAUUUAAUAAACUACAUUCUCAUUGCAAUCUGAAAAAUAAGCUUUGCAUCUGCAAAUGCAAAAUUAAUAAAUUUGACUAAUUUUAUAACAGCACGUACUUUCUGGAUCUAAUAUGAUAGCGAUGAGCACUUUACAAGGUAAGGUUUAAGACCUUACACAACUAAAGCCUUUAAU